rnacentral:rRNA from 1 species
UACGUAGGGUGCGAGCGUUGUCCGGAAUUAUUGGGCGUAAAGGGCUCGUAGGCGGUCUGUUGCGUCGGGAGUGAAAACUCAGGGCUUAACCCUGAGCCUGCUUCCGAUACGGGCAGACUGGAGGUAUGCAGGGGAGAACGGAAUUCCUGGUGUAGCGGUGAAAUGCGCAGAUAUCAGGAGGAACACCGGUGGCGAAGGCGGUUCUCUGGGCAUUACCUGACGCUGAGGAGCGAAAGUGUGGGGAGCGAACAGG